UACGGAGGGUGCAAACGUUGCUCGGAAUCAUUGGGCGUAAAGCGCACGUAGGCGGUCGGCUAUGUCGGAUGUGAAAGCCUCGGGCUCAACCUGGGACACCACCCGAUACUGCUCUGGCUAGAGUCCGGUAGGAGAGCAUGGAAUUCCUGGUGUAGCGGUGAAAUGCGCAGAUAUCAGGAGGAACACCGGUGGUGUAGACGGCUUUCUGGACCGACACUGACGCUGAGACACGAAAGCGUGGGUAGCAAACAGG
rnacentral:rRNA from 1 species